rnacentral:rRNA from 1 species
GACGAACGCUGGCGGCGUGCCUAAUACAUGCAAGUCGAACGCAUUUUCUUUCACCGUAGCUUGCUACACCGAAAGAAAAUGAGUGGCGAACGGGUGAGUAACACGUGGGUAACCUGCCCAUCAGCGGGGGAUAACACUUGGAAACAGGUGCUAAUACCGCAUAAUUCCAUUUACCGCAUGGUAGAUGGAUGAAAGGCGCUUUUGCGUCACUGAUGGAUGGACCCGCGGUGCAUUAGCUAGUUGGUGGGGUAACGGCCUACCAAGGCUGCGAUGCAUAGCCGACCUGAGAGGGUGAUCGGCCACACUGGGACGGAGACACGGCCCAGACUCCUACGGGAGGCAGCAGUAGGGAAUCUUCGGCAAUGGACGCAAGUCUGACCGAGCAACGCCGCGUGAGUGAAGAAGGUUUUCGGAUCGUAAAACUCUGUUGUUAGAGAAGAACAAGGAUGAGAGUGGAAAGUUCAUCCCUUGACGGUAUCUAACCAGAAAGCCACGGCUAACUACGUG